AUUGAACGCUGGCGGCAUGCUUUACACAUGCAAGUCGAGCGGCAGCGCGGGGGGCAACCCUGGCGGCGAGCGGCGAACGGGUGAGUAAUGCAUCGGAACGUACCCUGGAGUGGGGGAUAACGCCGCGAAAGCGGCGCUAAUACCGCAUAUGCUCUGAGGAGGAAAGUGGGGGACCGCAAGGCCUCACGCUCUGGGAGCGGCCGAUGUCCGAUUAGCUAGUUGGUGGGGUAAAGGCUUACCAAGGCGACGAUCGGUAGCUGGUCUGAGAGGAUGAUCAGCCACACUGGGACUGAGACACGGCCCAGACUCCUACGGGAGGCAGCAGUGGGGAAUUUUGGACAAUGGGGGCAACCCUGAUCCAGCCAUGCCGCGUGAGUGAAGAAGGCC
rnacentral:rRNA from 1 species